GUCCUCCCCUGGCCUGUUAGCCCAGGGUCUGCCAUACUCAGUAGAGCACUGAUUUAAUCCAGCUCAGACAGGGAAGGCAGCCCACCCUAGGGACUGGCCCCACCCAAGAGCAAGCCCUCAGGUAACUUGUGGACCUGCAUAGGUGUGGUGCCUAGAACCUCUGCAGCCAGGUUGCUUUGUUGAAGAGCUAUUAGUGUGCUGAACCACAAGUCACUCACUGACAACAGUAAUCAGAGCGGAAUCAAGAAACACGAUGCCAGAUUGGGUCUCAGUCACACUGGUGCCUUAUUUCCCAAGCAUUGGACAAAGAAGAGAUAUUACUUCAAAGUGGAUAAAGAGAAAGGCAUUCACAGUCUAAAACCAGAGACAGAAAUUUACGCAAAAGUCAUUGGAUGUGAUCCAUCCUAUAAUGGAGCCACAGCGGGAGCCCAAAGGACAGAAUGGCCAACGCUUCUUGAGGAGGUCGAGACAUUUCAUAAAGAAGGUUUGCAGAAAUAGAAAAACCAUGUGAGAUGUCUUGAUGCAAUUUCUUCAAAUAUUGAAGUCUCAAAUUUAGGAGACAAUAUAAAAGGAAGAAAAGGUGGAAUAUAUUGUGCUGAUUAGGUAACAAAUUGAAAAACCAUGGGGCAUUUCUGCUUUGGAGAAUGAAGCUGUAGCCGUGGGAAAUAAAACCCUAUGUAAAUCACUGAUGAAAUUAAUACAUUUUAAAGGUUAUCAGAGCAAAACUGCUGAAUUCUGUAGUUUGUCAUCAGUAAACUAAAUGCGAAAUCACUAAUUUAAUGUGUAUGAAUUACCAGUUGACUUCUAAUGUAUGG
rnacentral:lncRNA from 1 species